AAAUUCUUAACGGCCGCGGCACUAAAACCGUGCAAAGGUAGCACAAUCACUUGUCCCUUAAAUGAGGACCCGUAUGAAAGGCAACAUGAGAGAAGACCUGUCUCCUAAGGCCAGCCAGUGAAAUUGAACUACCAGUACAAAAGCUGGUAUUUACAAGCAAGACAAAAAGACCCUAUGGAACUUUAACAAAUUAUUUAUAUAACAUAAAUUAUAGUUUCAGUUGGGACAACUUUAGAGAAAAUUAACCUCUUAAUAAUACACAGACCAACAAGUCUAACUACCCGACCCAGUCACACUGAUUAACGAAACAAGCUACCCUAGGGAUAACAGCGCCACCUUCUCAAAGAGUCCAUAUCAACAAGAAGAUCUACGACCUCGAUGUUGGAUCAGGGUACCCUGACGGUGCAGCAGCUGUCAACGGUUCGUUUGUUCAACGAUUAAUACCC
rnacentral:rRNA from 1 species